GCCAGGCAUGGUGGUGUGUGCCUAUAGUCCCAGCUACUUGGGAGGCUGAGAUGGGAGGAUCGCUUGAGUCCAGGAGUUCUGGGCUGUAGUGCACUAUGCUGAGGGUGUCCACACUAAGUUUGGCAUCAAUAUGGUGACCUCCCAGGAGCGGGGGACCACCAGGUUGCCUAAGGAGGGGUGAACUGGCCCAGAUCAGAUGUAGCGCAGGUCAAAAUUCCCAUGCUGAUCGGUAGUGGGAUUGCACCUGUGAAUAGCCGCUGCACUCAAGCCUGGGCAACAUAGUGAGACCCUGUCUCUA
ensembl:misc_RNA Metazoa_SRP Metazoan signal recognition particle RNA